rnacentral:misc_RNA from 1 species
GAUGAAGAACGUAGCGAAAUGCGAUACUUGGUGUGAAUUGCAGAAUCCCGUGAACCAUCGAGUCUUUGAACGCAAGUUGCGCCUCAAGCCAUUAGGUUGAGGGCACGUCUGCCUGGGCGUCACAUAUCGUUGCCUGAUGCCAGUUUCCUCGUGAUGGGUGACUGUGCAGGGCGAAUGAUGGCUUCCCGUGAGCAUUGUUGCCUCAUGGUUGGUUGAAAAUUGAGUCCUUGGUAGGGAGCGCCGUGAUAGAUGGUGGUUGAGUGACGAACGAGACCCAAUCAUGUGAGACCCCUACCGAAUUUGGCCUCCAUGCCCCACAUGCGUCUUUGGAACGCUCAUGACGAGACCUCAGGUCAGGCGGGGCUACCCGCUGAGUUUAAGCAUAUCAAUAAGCGGAGGA